rnacentral:lncRNA from 1 species
GCAGAAAGGAAAGGUGAUAGCCUACGCUUCUAGACAAUUGAAACAAUAUGAACAAAACUACCCAACCCAUGAUCUAGAAUUGCCUGCGGUAGUUCAUGCUCUUAAGAUAUGGCGUCAUUACUUAUAUGGAAAUAAGUGUGACAUUUAUACUGAUCAUAAGAGUUUGAAGUACUUUUUUCACCCAAAAGGAAUUAAAUAUGAGGCAGAGAAGAUGGCUAGAGCUAGUAAAGGAUUAUGAUUGCACCAUCCUUUACCAUCCUGGUAAAGCUAAUGUAGUAGCAGAUGCUCUUAGCAGAAAGGCGGUUGGACAAUUAGCAGUACUAAUCACUAUGCGUCGAAAACUUCCAUUUAGAAGUAAUUGUUCCACCAACCCAAACUAUCACCAAGAUAGUGGCUCUAACGGUUCGACCAACACUUAGAGAUCGAAUAAGAGUAGCACAUGAUGGUGACUCUUUCCUGCAAAAGAUCAAAUCCAAAGUUGGUACUAGCAAGCGAAAGGAUUUUGAAUUAGGCAGUGAUAAAACCUUACUCUUUAAGGGAAGGUUGUGUGUGCUGAAAGAUGAGGGAUUGAGGAAAGAAAUUCUUGAAGAAGCACACUUAACUCCAUAUACUGCCCAUCCAGGAGGUACAAAAAUGUAUCGUGAUCUAAGGAGUAUGUUUUUGUGGAGAAAUAUGAAACGGUGCAUAGGUCUUUUUGUCAGGAGGUGCAUGACUUGUCAACGAGUGAAAGCUGAACAUCAAAGGCCAUCUGGAUUGUUGGAACCAUUAACAAUUCCACAAUGGAAAUGGGAGCAUAUAACUAUGGAUUUUGUUAUGGGUUUUUCCAAAAUCAGCUAAGGAAAAUGAUGCUAUGUGGGUUAUAGUAGAUCAGUUAACAAAGUCAGCUCAUUUUCUACAUGUAAGAAUGAAUUUUAGUAUGGAUCAAUACGCGCGAUUAUAUAUCAAAGAGGUCAUCCGUUUGCAUGGUAUCCCAGCCUCAAUUGUAUCGGAUAGAGAUCCAAGAUUUACCUCAAAAUUUUGGAAAAGUUUUGCAAGAAGCUAUGGGAACCAAGUUAAACUUCAGCACAGCUUUUCAUCCGCAAACUGAUGGGCAAUCGGAGAGGACUAUACAGACUUUGGAGGAUAUACUGCGUGCAUGCGCCCUUGAUUUAGGGGGCAGUUGGGAAAGUUAUGUACCACUGGUAGAAUUUGCCUAUAAUAAUAGCUAUCAAGCUACGAUAAAGAUGGAACCUUACGAAGCUCUUUAUGGCAGAAGAUGUACAGCUCCCCUUUAUUGGGAUGAAGUAGGUGAACGAAGAGUUUUAGGACCCAAAAUAAUUGAGGAAAUUAGUCGAGCGGUUGAUAAAAUAAAAGCUAGAAUCAAGGCAGCCCAGGAUCGACAAAAAAGUUAUGCCGAUAAAAGGAGAAAAGAUUUGGCAUUUAAUGUUGGUGAUAAAGUUUUCUUAAAAGUGGCACCGAUGAAGGGAGUUCUUCGCAUUGGAAAGAAGGGAAAACUUCGACCAAGAUUCAUAGGUCCUUUUGAAAUUUUGCAGAAAUUUGGAAAUGUAGCCUAUCAAAUCGCUCUACCACCACAUUUGUUAGCAAUUCAUGAUAUGUUCCACGUGUCAAUGCUUCAACAAUAUGUGUCAGAUCAAAGUCAUGUGGUUAGUUAUCAACCACUGGAUAUCAAACGAAACAUGACUUAUGAGGAAAAACCAGUAGCAAUAUUGGAUCGCAGAAUCCAACAACUGAGGACAAAGGAAAUUCCGUUAGUGAGAGUUCAAUGGAGAAACCAUAAUGUCAAAGAGUCAACUUGGGAAAGAGAAGAGGAAAUCAAGAUCAAGUAUCCAUAACUUUUCAACUAAGUUCAAGGUAAUUUCGAGGAUGAAAUUUUUAUAAGGGAGGAAGGAUGUAAUACUCCGAAUUUUGGGCUCAUUUAAUUUUUAGAAUAGCAAUUUAACUUUUCAAAAUUUAGUAUGACCAAAAAAUUAUUUAUGGUUGCCAAAUUUUGCAUUGGUUGAUUUAUUAAAAGUUUUUCCAAGUAAAUUGUUAAUUAGGGUUUUGGGAUAAAUGUCCAUUUUACACCUAAUUACUAAAGCUAAACAUUGUUUCUCCAACUUGGCCGAAAAUUGAUGAAACAUAUAUGCAUGAGGUGUUUUAAAAUUAAGCAUGAGGUGACUAACUAAUGCAUGAGGUGUUUUAAAUUUAAGAAAAUGAAACCAUACAGCCUACACAUGUUGAAUUUCUUGAAGAGUCACCCAAAAUUUAUCAUUUUUCUCACCUAUAAAUAGAUGUGUUGCUGCCCUUUAUUUCCCUUGGAUGAAAAACAACUUAUCACUUGUUUAAAAAAGGGAAGAAAACGUGAGGGAAGAAGAGGACCAGCCUAGCAUUUCUUAAUUCAUUUUCAACCAAGAUUUCUUCGAGUUUUAUUUUAAGAUAUUUU